GAGAGUUGAACGGAAAUCUCGCGGCGUCAAGGGGACGGCCUUCUCCGAGGCACGCGCAGCCCUCAGGAAUGGCCCUUUCUCUGGCUUUGAAAACCUCCCGGCCGCUCUGGAAGCCGGCUCCGUCAGCCGCCCGUUCGCUGCAGGCUCUAACAGAUGUCAGUCGUAGGAGCGUGACCUCGCAGCAGACCAUCCCACCUCCUGCCAAAUAUGGGGGGCGCCACACGGUGACAAUGAUCCCUGGCGAUGGGAUUGGGCCGGAACUCACACUGCACGUCAAGGAGAUAUUCAGGCAUGCCUGUGUGCCAGUGGACUUUGAGGAGGUUUUUGUGAGCUCGGAGGCCUCUGACAAGGAUCUGCAGAAUGCCAUCAUGGCCAUCCGGCGAAACCGCGUGGCCCUCAAAGGAAACCUGGAGACAAACCAUAACCUGCCACCUUCUCACAAGUCCCGGAAUAACAUUCUACGCACGACUCUGGAUCUCUUUGCUAACGUGAUCCACUGCAAGAGUCUCCCGGGAGUGGCAACCCGGCAUCGGGACAUCGACAUCCUUAUGGUCCGGGAGAACACGGAGGGGGAGUACAGCAGCCUGGAGCACGAGAGCGUCUCUGGUGUGGUGGAGAGCCUGAAGAUCAUCACAAGGACCAAGUCACUGCGCAUAGCUGAGUACGCCUUCCAGUUGGCCAAGGAGGCCGGGCGCAAGAAGGUGACAGCCGUCCACAAGGCCAACAUCAUGAAACUGGGUGAUGGCCUCUUCCUGCAGUGCUGCAAAGAGGUGGCAGCUGGCUACCCCGGCAUCUCCUUUGAUAGCAUGAUCGUCGACAACACCACCAUGCAGCUGGUCUCCCGUCCGCAGCAAUUCGAUGUCAUGGUUAUGCCUAACCUGUACGGCAACAUUGUCAACAACGUCUGUGCCGGACUGGUCGGGGGCCCGGGCCUGGUGCCAGGGGCCAAUUACGGGCGUGACUAUGCAGUUUUUGAAACGGCUACUCGCAAUACCGGCAAGAGCAUUGCCACCAAGAACAUUGCCAACCCCACAGCUAUGCUGCUUGCCAGCUGCAUGAUGCUGGACCACCUCAAGCUGCACAGCUACGCAUCCGUGAUCCGCAAGGCCGUUCUGGCCUCCUUGGAUGACUCGAAGACCCACACGCCGGACAUAGGAGGGCAGGGGACGACGUCCGAGGCGGUUCAGUCUAUCCUGAAACAGAUCCGGGAAUCUGCGUUUAACUUGGCGCAGUGAGGUGGGCAGGAAAGUGCGACGUCACCCAUCUGUUCUCCGUAGGGCUGUUGGCACCAUCCUGAAGCCAGAGAGCAGGAACAAAAGACUCCCCCCUCCAGCGCCACAGCUGAAAUGAAUGCCCCCCAAGUGUGGGUGCAGCCCUGCUGUAUGAAACUGACGCAGACCCUUUGUUUCCCAACUGCUGAAGCUCCACACUCCAUUUUGUGUAUAUGGCUUGUAACUAGGCAGUUCCUCUUCCCCAAGGAAAUAAAUGUAAAUGUGUGGUC